rnacentral:rRNA from 2 species
CUCUGGUAUUGAUUGGUGCUUGCAUCAUGAUUUACAUUUGAGUGAGUGGCGAACUGGUGAGUAACACGUGGGAAACCUGCCCAGAAGCGGGGGAUAACACCUGGAAACAGAUGCUAAUACCGCAUAACAACUUGGACCGCAUGGUCCGAGUUUGAAAGAUGGCUUCGGCUAUCACUUUUGGAUGGUCCCGCGGCGUAUUAGCUAGAUGGUGAGGUAACGGCUCACCAUGGCAAUGAUACGUAGCCGACCUGAUAGGGUAAUCGGCCACAUUGGGACUGAGACACGGCCCAAACUCCUACGGGAGGCAGCAGUAGGGAAUCUUCCACAAUGGACGAAAGUCUGAUGGAGCAACGCCGCGUGAGUGAAGAAGGGUUUCGGCUCGUAAAACUCUGUUGUUAANGAAGAACAUAUCUGAGAGUAACUGUUCCGGUAUUGACGGUAUUUAACCAGAAAGCCACGGCUAACUACGUGCCAGCAGCCGCGGUAAUACGUAGGUGGCAAGCGUUGUCCUGAUUUAUUGGGCGUAAAGCGAGCGCAGGCGGUUUUUUAAGUCUGAUGUGAAAGCCUUCGGCUCAACCGAAGUAGUGCAUCGGAAACUGGGAAACUUGAGUGCAGAAGAGGACAGUGGAACUCCAUGUGUAGCGGUGAAAUGCGUAUAUAUAUGGAAGAACACCAUUGGCUAAGGCGGCUGUCUGGUCUGUAACUGACGCUGAGGCUCGAAAGUAUGGGUAGCAAACAGGAUUAGAUAACCCUGGUAGUCCAUACCGUAAACGAUGAAUGCUAAGUGUUGGAGGGUUUCCGCCCUUCAGUGCUGCAGCUAACGCAUUAAGCAUUCCGCCUNGGGGAGUACGGCCGCAAGGCUGAAACUCAAAGGAAUUGACGGGGGCCCGCACAAGCGGUGGAGCAUGUGGUUUAAUUCGAAGCUACGCGAAGAACCUUACCAGGUCUUGACAUACUAUGCAAAUCUAAGAGAUUAGACGUUCCCUUCGGGGACAUGGAUACAGGUGGUGCAUGGUUGUCGUCAGCUCGUGUCGUGAGAUGUUGGGUUAAGUCCCGCAACGAGCGCAACCCUUAUUAUCAGUUGCCAGCAUUAAGUUGGGCACUCUGGUGAGACUGCCGGUGACAAACCGGAGGAAGGUGGGGAUGACGUCAAAUCAUCAUGCCCCUUAUGGCCUGGGCUACACACGUGCUACAAUGGAUGGUACAACGAGUUGCGAACUCGCGAGAGUAAGCUAAUCUCUUAAAGCCAUUAUCAGUUCGGAUUGUAGGCUGCAAUUCGCCUACAUGAAGUCGGAAUCGCUAGUAAUCGCGGAUCAGCAUGCCGCGGUGAAUACGUUCCCGGGCCUUGUACACACCGCCCGUCACACCAUGAGAGUUUGUAACACCCAAAGU